rnacentral:misc_RNA from 1 species
UCCGACUUGACGUCGGCAGUCUCGUUAGAGUGCCCCACUUAAGGCUGGCAACUAACGACAGAGGUUGCGCUCGUUGCGGGACUUAACCCAACAUCUCACGACACGAGCUGACGACAGCCAUGCAGCACCUAUGCACGGACCCCGAAGAGGGCCCGCCGUUUCUGGCGGGUUUCCCGUGCAUGUCAAGCCCAGGUAAGGUUCUUCGCGUUGCGUCGAAUUAAGCCACAUGCUCCGCCGCUUGUGCGGGUCCCCGUCAAUUCCUUUGAGUUUUAGCCUUGCGGCCGUACUCCCCAGGCGGGGUGCUUAAUGCGUUAGCUGCGGCACGGAUCCCGUCGAUAGGGACCCACACCUAGCACCCAUCGUUUACGGCGUGGACUAC